rnacentral:tRNA from 1 species
GCUUCUACAGCUCAGCUGGCUAGAGCACCCGUUUAGUAAGCGGGAGACCCUGAGUCCAACUGUCAGUGGAAGCA